rnacentral:rRNA from 1 species
GAUGAACGCUAGCGGCAGGCUUAACACAUGCAAGUCGAGGGGCAACACGGGUAGCAAUACCUGGUGGCGACCGGCGCAAGGGUGCGUAACGCGUGAGCAACAUGCCCUAUACAGGGGGAUAAUCCAGGGAAACUUGGUCUAAUAUCCCAUAGUAUUUAGAGGUGGCAUCACCACUAAAUUAAAGCUUCGGUGGUAUAGGAUUGGCUCGCGUGACAUUAGCUGGAUGGUGGGGUAACGGCUCACCAUGGCGAUGAUGUCUAGGGGUUCUGAGAGGAAGACCCCCCAACUGGGACUGAGACACGGCCCAGACUCCUACGGGAGCAGCAGUGAGGAAUAUUGGACAAUGGAUGGAAAUCUGAUCCAGCCAUGCCGCGUGCAGGAAGACGGCCCUAUGGGUUGUAAACUGCUUUUAUAUGGGAGCAAUAAGGUUUACGCGUAGACCGAUGAAGUACCAUUGAAUAAGCAUCGGUAACU